rnacentral:rRNA from 1 species
CCUACGGGAGGCAGCAGUGAGGAAUAUUGGUCAAUGGGCUUACGCCUGAACCAGCCAAGUCGCGUGAGGGAAGACUGCACUAUGUGUUGUAAACCUCUUUUGUCAGGGAGCAACGCCGGCUACGUGUCGCCGGACUAAGAGUCCCUGAAGAAAAAGCAUCGGCUAACUCCGUGCCAGCACCCGCGGUAAUCCGGCGGAUGCGAGCGUUAUCCGGAUUUAUUGGGUUUAAAGGGUGCGUAGGCGGCAUGCCAAGUCAGCGGUAAAAUCGCGGGGCUCAACCCCGCUCAGCCGUUGAACCUGGCGUUCUGGAGUUGGCGAGAAGUACGCGGAAUGCGUGGUGUAGCGGUGAAAUGCAUAGAUAUCACGCAGAACUCCGAUUGCGAAGGCAGCAUACCGGCGCCAAACUGACGCUGAAGCACGAAAGCGUGGGUAUCGAACAGGAUUAGAUACCCGGGUAGUC